rnacentral:lncRNA from 1 species
AGCUAGAAAAAGAGCUAUGUUGGCCAGGAGCUAGAAACAGAACUAGGUUGGCUAGUUGUCCAGGAGCUAGAAACAAAACUAGGUUGGCUAGUUUGCUAGGAGCUUGAAACAGAACUAGGUUGGCCAGGAGCUAGAAACAGAACUAGGUUGGCUAGUUGUCCAGGAGCUAGAAACAAAACUAGGUUGGCUAGUUGGCCAGGAGAUAGAAACAGAACUCUGUUGGCUAGGAGCUAGAAACAGAACUAGGUUGGCCAGGAGCUAGAAACAGAACUAGGUUGACUACUUGUCCAGGAGCUAAAAACAGAACUAGGUUGGCUAGUUGGCCAGGAGAUAGAAACAGAACUAGGUUGGCUAGGAGCUAGAAACAGAACUAGGUUGGCUAGGGGCUAGAAACAUAACUAGGUUGGCUAGUUGUCCAGGAGCUAAAAAAAGAACUAGGUUGGCUAGUUGGGCAGGAGCUAGAAACAUAACUAUGUUGGCUAGGAGCUAGAAACAGAAUUAGUUUUGUUUCUAGCUCCUGGACAACUAGCCAACCUAGUUCUG